rnacentral:tRNA from 1 species
GGGGGUGUAGCUCAGAUGGUAGAGCGCGCGCUUUGCAUGCGCGAGGUACCGUACCGGGAUCGAUACCCGGCACCUCCA